GACGAACCGUGCGAACGUUAUUCGGAAUCACUGGGCUUAAAGCGCGUGUAGGCGGGUGGGCGCGUCGGCCGCUGAAAUCCCCCGGCUCAACCGGGGAAGGGGCGCCGAGACGGCCGGCCUGGAGGGACGUAGGGGGGGCUGGAACUUCCGGUGGAGCGGUGAAAUGCGUUGAGAUCGGAAGGAACGCCCGUGGCGAAAGCGAGCCCCUGGACGUCUACUGACGCUGAGACGCGAAAGCCAGGGGAGCGAACGGG
rnacentral:rRNA from 1 species